rnacentral:rRNA from 1 species
UACGGGGGGGGCAAGCGUUGUUCGGAAUUACUGGGCGUAAAGGGCUCGUAGGCGGCCAACUAAGUCAGACGUGAAAUCCCCAGGCUCAACUUGGGAACUGCGUCUGAUACUGGAUGGCUUGAAUUCGGGAGAGGGAUGCAGAAUUCCAGGUGUAGCGGUGAAAUGCGUAGAUAUCUGGAGGAAUACCGGUGGCGAAGGCGGCAUCCUGGACCGACAUUGACGCUGAUGAGCGAAAGCUAGGGGAGCAAACAGG